rnacentral:hammerhead_ribozyme from 1 species
AUCUAGCUGAUGAGUCCCAAAUAGAACGAGACGCGCGUCCUGGAU